rnacentral:rRNA from 1 species
GACGAACGCUGGCGGCGUGCUUAACACAUGCAAGUCGAACGGAAAGGCCCUGCUUUUGUGGGGUGCUCGAGUGGCGAACGGGUGAGUAACACGUGAGUAACCUGCCCUUGACUUUGGGAUAACUUCAGGAAACUGGGGCUAAUACCGGAUAGGAGCUCCUGCUGCAUGGUGGGGGUUGGAAAGUUUCGGCGGUUGGGGAUGGACUCGCGGCUUAUCAGCUUGUUGGUGGGGUAGUGGCUUACCAAGGCUUUGACGGGUAGCCGGCCUGAGAGGGUGACCGGCCACAUUGGGACUGAGAUACGGCCCAGACUACUACGGGAGGCAGCAGUGGGGAAUAUUGCACUAUGGGCGGAAGCCUGAUGCAGCAACGCCGCGUGCGGGAUGACGGCCUUCGGGUUGUAAACCGCUUUCGCCUGUGACGAAGCGUGAGUGACGGUAAUGGGUAAAGAAGCACCGGCUAACUACGUG